UCCUUGUCCUCAGAAGACAGGAAGCUGUUUGUGGGCAUGCUGGGGAAGCAGCAGGCGGACACGGACGUGAGGAAGAUGUUUGAGCCGUUCGGGAGCAUAGAGGAGUGCACCGUCCUCCGAGGGCCGGACGGCACCAGCAAAGGCUGUGCGUUUGUGAAGUACCAGAACAACGCAGAGGCCCAGGCAGCCAUCAGCGCUCUGCACGGGAGCCGCACUCUACCGGGAGCGUCGUCCAGCCUGGUGGUGAAGUUUGCCGACUCGGAGAAGGAGCGGGGGAUCCGGCGCAUGCAGCAGGUGGCCUCCCAGCUGGGGGUCAUUAGCCCCAUGACCCUUCACCUCGGGGCCUACAACGCAUACACACAGGCGUUGGUCCAGCAACAGGCACUCGUCGCCCAGUCUGCCUACCUGUCUCCGGUUGCCACGGUUGCGGCCGUGCAGAUGCAGCAGUUGGCAGCCCUCAACCCCAGCAGCAUCAUUGCUACGCCUAUCAGCUCCAUUGCCCCCUCCUCAGGUACCAACACCCCUCCCUCUAUGGCCGGCACACCCGUCCCAGCUCUGCCUCCACCAAUCACACUCAACAACUACGCCUCUGUCGCCGCCCCGCCCAAUGGGCAGUCAGCGUCUGAAGCCCUGUACACCAAUGGGAUCCACGCAUAUCAAGCUCAGAGUCCUGUCCUGGACCAAUUGCAGCAAGCCUACACUGGCAUGCAACACUACACAGUUUACUCCGUCUCUGCGCCAGCCACCUACCCGGCUGCGUACGGCCUGGUGGGCCAGCCCUUCCCCCACCAGCACACCCUUAUGGCCCAGCAGCCGCAGCCCCCCCAGCAGCUACAGCAGAGAGAAGGUUUUAAUGCGAAUACAAUAUAUACACAAAUAAGUCCAGAGGGCUGCAACAUCUUCAUCUACCACCUGCCCCAGGAGUUCACAGACUCUGAGAUGCUUCAGAUGUUCCUGCCCUUCGGAAACGUCAUCUCCGCCAAGGUCUUCGUCGACCGCGCCACCAACCAGAGCAAAUGCUUUGGUUUUGUGAGCUUUGACAACCCCUCGAGUGCCCAGACGGCCAUCCAAGCCAUGAAUGGCUUCCAGAUCGGCAUGAAGCGACUCAAGGUGCAGCUGAAGAGGCCUAAGGAUGCCAACAGACCUUACUGAAUGGGGUCAGUGGACUGGACUGUCCUGUCCAUACAUAUAUCGUGGAGACUGCGUCGCUAUGGCUACGGUUGCCUAGCAACCUCUAAAACCUCCCCCUUCCUUCUCACUGCGUUGACAAUGCAGGAGCUCAAUUGAGAAAAAGAGAGGGGAAAAAAAAACCGGCCUUGUUUUCCUCUUGACGUUUUUUAUUUUUGGUUGUUAGACCAAAGCGCAUAGCAGCACACAGGAGCGAAACUUCACCAUGGAAACCAUUAUACCCAUCAAUCCUGUACAACUAAAAUAUGAGCAUCACAGCAGCUACAGUUUUAGGCUCUCCGUGUUUCCCUUUCCCCCCGCCCCCCCCCCACCCCCACCCCCCUGUUGUGUCCAGCCGUUCCAGAGAUUUUCACCACAUGCUCACAGCUGGAUCCAUUUAGAUGAUGUACAUACGUCUAUUGACAAAAAUCUACAUGUUAAGAAAAAAAAACAUAUCAAUGGUGUUAUUCUACUGAACAGGGUUCUACUGUAUAGUGUAAUCUGUGGUGUGUGGCGUUAGC